rnacentral:hammerhead_ribozyme from 1 species
AGCCGAAACGCCUUCGGGCGUCAGCCGUGGGACGGUCUCCCGGCUCUGAUGAGGGCAGACCAGA